GGCGGACGGGUGAGUAACGCGUAGGAAUGUGUCUAGAGGUGGGGGACAACCCUGGGAAACUGGGGCUAAUACCGCAUAUGUCCUGAGGGACAAAGCCGAGAGGCGCCUUUGGAGCAGCCUGCGUCCGAUUAGGUAGUUGGUGGGGUAAUGGCCUACCAAGCCUGCGAUCGGUAGCUGGUCUGAGAGGACGACCAGCCACACUGGGACUGAGACACGGCCCAGACUCCUACGGGAGGCAGCAGUGGGGAAUAUUGGACAAUGGGCGCAAGCCUGAUCCAGCAAUGCCGCGUGGGUGAAGAAGGUCUUCGGAUUGUAAAGCCCUUUCGACGGGGACGAUGAUGACGGUACCCGUAGAAGAAGCCCCGGCUAACUUCGUGCCAGCAGCCGCGGUAAUACGAAGGGGGCUAGCGUUGCUCGGAAUUACUGGGCGUAAAGGGCGCGUAGGCGGCCCUGCAAGUCAGGCGUGAAAUUCCCGG
rnacentral:rRNA from 1 species